rnacentral:lncRNA from 1 species
GGGGACAAGGAGGCAGCGAGCGCAGAGCGCCGAGCUCCCAGCCGCUCGUCUGCGCAGCCCGGGUCACCUAGAGCCCAGCCCGCAGACAGGGUCGGCUGGGGCGGAGCUUCCCCACCGCCGCCGGAGCCGGGGCCGGAGCCUGGGCCGGGAGGCAGGGGGGAACCUGUUGCUGAAGUCCAGCGAAGGCGCUUCUGCUUCCCAGCGCCGCCGGGGCUCCGUCCUUGCACCGUGGGCAGGGGCCGGCAGGGGUCUAUUGGGCAGACGACCUAACUACUGCUGAUCUGGGGAUUCCUGAUUGACUGUGAAUAAAUAAUGAAACACAAAUGAUGGAACCAUGUCAACCAUAAAAUCAAUUUUCAGAGGGUACUAAGAAGAAAAUAAAUCGAAAAUCGCAACACUGAGGAGCAUCCACUGUUAACCUUUGGUGGGAGAGUAAAUCCAGUCCCUGUUAUUCCAUCUUGGCUAGAAGCAGAAGUUCCAUUUUGCUAUUUGUGCAAAUAUAAGAUCUUUUUCACAUUGUGUUGAUCCUGUGGAUGCUUCAGCAUUACUUCUGAUGAUAAUCUACCUUUAAAAUAGCUGACUGAGAUAUUAAAUAAAAUAUCAAAUGGAGAAGCCUUGAUAAAAUGAAAGGUGCCAAAUAAAUAUUAGCAAUUUUAAGGAAGAUGAUUUGUAGGUUUGUGAUUUGCGUGUGUUCUGGUUUUGGUAUAGGCCAUGAUAUCUGUAUUUGUCCUUUCAAACCUAAAACUAAGAUUGUAAGGCUCCUCCUGCUUUUCUGUUAGUGUUCAUGGAGUGGUCAAGCCUUUAGUUCUGUUAGGGCAGCAAGGAUGCAUGCCCUAUUCAUAAUGUACAUUCAUCAUCAAGCAUAGUGUUUAGUAGAUAAAAGACACAAUAAAUAUUGUUGAAUUAAUGUACAGUUUUGAGAACUGCAUAUUACUGAAUUUAUAUACAGUUUUGAGAGCACUUUUAACAAUUAAAAUUCUUGAACAUCUACUUUUAGUAUUGUUUCAAGAGAGCUCCAUCAAUAUCAACUAGGUCUCUUUCCUUUAGAAAUAUAUGAUUUUAAUGAAGUUUAUCCAUCUCUAGGAAUUUUACAAGAACUAAUUAGCAUCACAUUUAUACAUGUUAGAAAUUUGUGUUCACUCACUUUUAUAUUCAUAUAUUAAACAAAUACAUAUUUAUAUAAUGCAAAUGGAUUUUUUGCCAUAAAUAAAUCACAAUGUUAAAAGAUUUAAGCUGUUGUGUACAAAAUUU